rnacentral:rRNA from 1 species
GCUUGCUUCUCUUGAGAGCGGCGGACGGGUGAGUAAUGCCUAGGAAUCUGCCUGGUAGUGGGGGAUAACGUUCGGAAACGGACGCUAAUACCGCAUACGUCCUACGGGAGAAAGCAGGGGACCUUCGGGCCUUGCGCUAUCAGAUGAGCCUAGGUCGGAUUAGCUAGUUGGUGGGGUAAUGGCUCACCAAGGCGACGAUCCGUAACUGGUCUGAGAGGAUGAUCAGUCACACUGGAACUGAGACACGGUCCAGACUCCUACGGGAGGCAGCAGUGGGGAAUAUUGGACAAUGGGCGAAAGCCUGAUCCAGCCAUGCCGCGUGUGUGAAGAAGGUCUUCGGAUUGUAAAGCACUUUAAGUUGGGAGGAAGGGUUGUAGAUUAAUACUCUGCAAUUUUGACGUUACCGACAGAAUAAGCACCGGCUAACUCUGUGCCAGCAGCCGCGGUAAUACAGAGGGUGCAAGCGUUAAUCGGAAUUACUGGGCGUAAAGCGCGCGUAGGUGGUUUGUUAAGUUGGAUGUGAAAUCCCCGGGCUCAACCUG